UGCAGCGGGCUUCGCUGAUUGGCGGAGGUCGGGAGUUGUGCCGUUAAGAGAGGCAGAGGUGGCGGCCUGCAGGUGACACGGCAUCUCCUCAGGCUGUAGCGGCCUCAACUCCUGCAUCUCCUGCCUGGGAGCAUGGGAGGCCGCCAGUCUCCGUUAGAACCGGGCUUACCGUGCCAGGGAAAAUUCUGGGAUGCCCUCGGGGUAUCGGAAGAGGAUGAGGAGCUGGAGGGUUUCAGGCGGGAGGUGGCAGUCCUGCGUGACAAGCUGCGGGAGGCUCUCAGUUGUACAUCUGGAAACAAAAGGCAGUCUAGUUCUUUGAUUGACCUCACCUCGGACAGUACCUGGGAUCAGCAAAAGCCUCACUUGUUUCCGAAAUCCCACUUAAGGCCAAAAAGCGCUUCAUCUCCCUGGAUUCCUUCCAUCACCAUCCCUCAGCCUUUCAAAAUGACGCUGCGGGAAGCUCGCAAAAAGUCCCAGCUGAUGAAGUCAUACAUGUUUCUUGAACUAGACAAACAGAGAGACAAAAUGCAAAGCCAGGAUGAAGCUGAAUGUCAGAAACAAUUCCGGGCACAGCCUGUACCUGCCCAUGUAUUUCUGCCCCUUUAUCAGGAAAUAAUGGAGCAGAAUGAGAUUCGCAGGCAAACGGCAACACAGAAAAGAAAGGAGCUGCUACUUUCUACCCAGAGGCCCUUCAGUUUCCUGGAGAAGGAGGAGAAAAAGAAAGAAGCUAUCAGACAAAAGUUCUUGGCGGCAGCAACCUCAAAUGAGAGUUCCAAACAGAAGCAAGCCAGUAAAAAAGUUCCUAAAUCUACCUACGGCCCACUUCUUGGAGAUAAACUCAAAGAAGCUGAACUCUACAGAGAAAUCCGCAUUCAAAUGAGAGCGAAGGAUUUGCUUGAGAGCUCCAUAGCUCCUAUAGAUACUAGCACCUGUCAGAGGGAGCCUCAGUCCCGAACUGCCACUAAAACUAAGCAGGAAAGGCUUGGCUUCUUGCAGGACAAAAGUUUCAGCUUCAAGCCAAGGAUUAAUCCAACAAUACCGGAUUUUGAAGGACUUUACUGGGCAUUUCAGAGGGAAGCAGUAAGGAGACAAGAAAUCAAAGAGGCAACUCGUAAUAAGCCAUUCAAGCUAAGAACCUCCAAUCUCCGUGGCAGGCAGAGGCAGGCUAAUGAAAAACUAAAGGAUUCUCAGCAACUUUCCAAGGUUUCAGUGCAAAAAAUUCAUUCUCUUUCCGGACUUUCCUCUCUGUCUUCCAACACCCUUCCAGUGCAUAUCACAGAUGCAACUAGAAAAAGGGAAUCUGCUAUUAGAUACUCCCAAGAUAACAAAAAGGAAGGGGACAAGGAAGGAAUUUAUUGGCUGGAGAAACAGAAAAAGAAAUGUCAAGCUAUCCGAAAGUCAGUGAACAGCCGAGCAAAAGCCCUAGAUCCGCAUAAAAGUCUGGAGGAAACACACAAGGAGAAGCUGAAACAGAACCGGCAAACUAUGAGAGACAGAACAAAGGAAUACAGAAAGGAGCUGGAAGAAAUGCAGCUGCGAGUCAAGAACAAACCAUACCUCUUUGAGCAGGUCACCAAGGUAACUGUUCAAGUUCCAGGUUGUUUCUGGGUGACUCCAUACAUUGUCUUUCAUGUAAGGCAGGCAUUAAGAAAUGUAGUCUCAAGUUAAUUCACAGAUAAGAAGGUGCAAAUGGUUGUAUAGUGUCUUGACUACACUCAAAAUAACACAUGGAAGGGCCACCCAAGUAAAAUUUAAAUUCCUUCCCACCACUUGAAAAAACACUCAAGUCUUUUUUUCUUGGUUGUAGAGCUUUCCAGUCCCCAGUAUAUACUGCAAUCAAAAUAUCUGGUCUGAUCAAACUCAAGGCCUUGUCACACCAGAAAUUAUAUGAAUACCUAUUCUGCACCUAAAUACCACAGCCUACGGUCUAGAAUUUUUAAAACUUUUUUUUCUUAAAGCCCUCUCCCGUUGAGCACUUACUCUUUGUACCUCUAGUGUUACUAGAAAAACAUUCAUGACAGCUGUAUCGCUUAUAUCCCCUGCAAGUUCUGCUCUCUGGGGUUGCGUUCAGCACAUCUCAUCCAUCACGCGCCGCCAGCUGCAAAUCUGCGUUGCACUGGAGGUGUAGGUACGAUCUUUACUCUCUAUAAAGCAUCUUUUCCCCAGGGUUUUCUCUUCCAGUUCUGUCUCCUUCAGGGACGAUAAUCUGGUUAGAGACAGAGUGACGAUACACUGACAACAUGCUGAUUUAAGGUUUCUCAAUAGAAUGUACCCUCCUGGGUCAGACUUUCAGUUCAGGUGAGUGGUUAACGGAGGCACAUUUGGAUGAUAAGUGUUGGUAACAUUUCUGUUUGCUGGGUUCCGGUAGUAUCGAUAGCAUUCACUCGUAUUGAGCCAAGAUUUCUGUCCUUCCAUAGAGAACACCUUAACCUUUAGGAACUGGCCAGUCUCCCUGGAAAACUGUCAUCUCAGACUCCAUUAAUUGGCAAGGUUUAUUUGGAGGCAGUGAGGAUAUAGGAUCCAGGAUGCUUGGUUUUCAGUUUCAUGAAGGUGAGCUGACAGGAAGAUAUUUCACAGGUGUUUUCCAUUUAUUGAACUCCACUGUCAUUAGUGCUUACAAGUUACAAGCAAACAUGCUUCCAGAAUUUCUCACAACCCUUUGUUGCACGUAUUCUCAAUUUGAGUGUCCGAAUCAGGGCUCAGACACAAGUAUGCUAGUCUGGUAGGACUGGAAUGCUGUAGAAGCAGGAGGAACAGAAGAAGGAAGAAUAAAAAGAACAGAAGCAGAAAAAGCAUGAUGCUCGUCAAGGAGCAGAGCGUCGCUACAGACACACCCUCCAGCAGGUUGGGCUAAGUGAAGAAUUUGUGACUAAGAAAGGGAAAGAUGCCACUGACUUGCUGGAAGAAGAAUCUGAUGUUCUCAG